UUUUUUAAAUCUUCACACCACUUCUACCACCAACUCCGAUUCUACUGCUUCCCAGAAUCCUACCCAAUGGCUCUCCCGCUCCUCCUCUCUACUCAACCGCAAUCACAGCGAUGUUAUCGAUGAUGUCACCGCCGCAACCGCUGCUGACUCCAUCAUUGCGGGCACUAUUUCCCACGAAUCACCCGAUUUGAAAACCAACACCAAUAACAACAGCGAUACCAUGAACAACAAGAGCGAAGGAGGGGUGGUUGAGAGUGGUGGAGGCGGGGAGGGAGUGGUUAACUGGCAGAAUGCGAGGUACAAGGCGGAGAUACUGUCUCACCCGUUGUAUGACCAGUUGUUGUCGGCACACGUGGCGUGUUUGCGAAUCGCCACUCCGGUGGAUCAGUUGCCAAGAAUUGACGCCCAGCUCGCCCAGUCACAGCACGUAGUGGCUAAAUA
rnacentral:misc_RNA from 1 species